CACGUAGGGCGCAAGCGUUGUCCGGAAUCAUUGGGCGUAAAGCGCGUGUAGGCGGCUCGGUAAGUCCGCUCUGAAAGCCCGGGGCUCAACCCCGGGAGGCGGGUGGAUACUGCUGAGCUCGAGUCCGGAAGAGGAGUGUGGAAUUCCUGGUGUAGCGGUGAAAUGCGCAGAUAUCAGGAGGAACACCAAUGGCGAAGGCAGCACUCUGGGACGGUACUGACGCUGAGACGCGAAAGCGUGGGGAGCAAACAGG
rnacentral:rRNA from 1 species